CAAUGACGACAAAAACAAACAGACCAAAACACAAAUUAGAUCCAAACUCUUAACAUCCUUAAUCAUCAAAAAACAUCAUCGUAAGAAAUCAAGCAAAGCAUCCAUGUCUGCACACUUCACCUUCAAGUCCUUUAAAUCUUCCUCAAUUUCUUGCAGUCGACUCUUACCAGUCUCUUUCAGUUUCUUCUCCAACCAAUCCAACUUAAACCCUGCUUUUGUAACAAAUCGUAGUGCAGAAUAUGCCUCUGCCAGAUCACCACUGGAAAGUUCUUCCGGAAACUUGCACAGAAUCUCAGUCAUACUUAGUACAACAUCCAGAAAUGUUUUUCUCAGAUGUUGGUUCUUGGGAAAGAUUUUUGAUGCAAAGCCUCGAUACUUUUCAAACAGACUGUUCAUAGAUUCUACCUGCAAGUAAACAAACGGACAGUUCAGAUAAAAACCAUAUCGAAUAGCGAUUCUUGGAGACCUGAAAACAACCCAACAAAACAUACAUGCAGCAUGCAUCUAUAUUUGUAAAUAACUAUAUAUCAGCCAAAUGAACUCUAGUAAGAAACUCUUACAAUUCGUUUCAUUUUUUCUUUUGUUUUCUAUGAAUUUAAAAGUAUAUUUCUUACCUGUGAAGCAGGGACUUGAAACCCAUUGAUAUCAAUUCUUUCUGGUUCCUCUGGUACAUCUAAUUCACCAAUAACUUCAAGAACAUCUACUUCUGCAACAAUCUUGACUUCUCCGUUUACGAGAAACCCUUUAUCACUGCUUUGAAUCUCCGAAAGGAGAAACAUAGAUUCAAAACCAUGGGUUGUGUCCUUUUCAUCAAACCAGUAUACUGCUUCUGAAAACAAAACCACAAAAACAAACUUGAUAUUAUCAUCAACUACAAUUCCAAAGAAAGUAUGACAAGAGCUAUACUGCAACAUAGAGGUUGUGUUCUUUAUGUUGUCCGCCUUAUCAUAAAGUGGAGAGAGUAGAAACAAUCACCUCGCUGUUGGGAGAGUCCUCCCGGAAUUUGAUUUACCAUAGUAAAAGAAACUUUAGCGCGUCUUCUCCAUCCGGAAGGCAAAGACUCAGAAUUAGGAACACAUAUAUACAGAAAGAAAUAAUCAUAGAUAUUGUUUCCCUUGGGAAAGGCGAGUAGACGCCUACAAGCAAAAACCACAGAAAGUCAUUUGCAGCUAUCGAACAUGAAUAUAUAUCAGUUGCAACAAGUUAUGUUCUUUACCACUUGCAACGACCGGCCUUGAAUGUAUCAGAAUAAACACUACCGGAACCCAAAGAGUUGUAAUUCUUGAUCACCCAAGUGAACUUCUUAUCAGCUUGAUGAUUCCCCAUUGUUCUUGAUGAUGAAUACUCUAAACAACCAAAUUAGUAACUCGAACAAGUCAAACAACCAUAUCAAGAAACA
rnacentral:sRNA from 1 species